rnacentral:tRNA from 1 species
GGGCCGUUAGCUCAGCCGGUAGAGCAGCGGGCUUUUAACCCGUUGGUCCCGCGUUCGAAUCGCGGACGGCCCA